GCCAUAGUCAACCUGUGAACCAACAACUGUUAUAGAAAUUUGGUAUUGAGGAUAGGAAUUUGUUUGGGAGAAUGUGUUUUCACUGAAACGUAAGGUCAUUGAAUCAACAGACAUCAAGAAUCUUGUUAGUUUGAUGGAUGAUAAAGAAAGAAGAAAAUCUUGAUGUGGGAAAUCUACACUUGGGAUUGAAGUGUAGAUUUCAGUGUGAACUAUUUGGGGGACAAGCAAAGCCUAGGGACCAGAAAAAGUGCUCUCUCUUAAACUAUCAUGCUGUUGGAAGUGCCUAAUUUGCUGGAAAGGAAUGAUUAGAAGAGAGUGUAGGGUGAGGAUAAAGAAAGUUGUUCCAAAUGCAUGACAUUGCCCAUAAAUUCUCAUUUUGCCAAUCCUGCAUGCUUUUAAUCAGUAUGGGAAGCCCGAAUUACCUGCAAGUGAAGGAAUAGGAUUUUAUUCGAUCCCCUUAAUUAGGCUGCGUUUAGGAGCUCAAUUCUGUUGGCAG
rnacentral:misc_RNA from 1 species